GACGAACGCUGGCGGCGUGCCUAAUACAUGCAAGUCGAGCGAACCAAUAAGAAGCUUGCUUUUUGUUGGUUAGCGGCGGACGGGUGAGUAACACGUGGGUAACCUGCCUGUAAGACCGGGAUAACUCCGGGAAACCGGUGCUAAUACCGGAUAGAUUAUCUUUCCGCCUGGAGAGAUAAGGAAAGAUGGCUUUUGCCAUCACUUACAGAUGGGCCCGCGGCGCAUUAGCUAGUUGGUGAGGUAACGGCUCACCAAGGCGACGAUGCGUAGCCGACCUGAGAGGGUGAUCGGCCACACUGGGACUGAGACACGGCCCAGACUCCUACGGGAGGCAGCAGUAGGGAAUCUUCCGCAAUGGACGAAAGUCUGACGGAGCAACGCCGCGUGAGUGAAGAAGGUCUUCGGAUCGUAAAGCUCUGUUGUUAGGGAAGAACAAGUAUCGGAGGAAAUGCCGGUACCUUGACGGUACCUGACGAGAAAGCCACGGCUAACUACGUGCCAGCCGCCGCCGUAACAC
rnacentral:rRNA from 1 species